rnacentral:rRNA from 1 species
CUACGGAAGGCAGCAGGAAGGAAUUUUGGACAAUGGGGGAAACCCUGAUCCAGCAACGCCGCGUGGGCGAUGAAGGUCUUCGGAUCGUAAAGCCCUUUUCUGUGGGAAGAGGCAGGACGGUACCACAGGAAUAAGUCUCGGCUAACUACGUGCCAGCAGCCGCGGUAAAACGUAGGAGGCAAGCGUUAUCCGGAUUUACUGGGCGUAAAGCGCAUGCAGGCGGCCGUGCAAGUUGGGCGUGAAAUCUCUCGGCUUAACCGGGAGGGGUCGUCCAAUACUGCGGGGCUUGGGUGCAGGAGAGGGAAGCGGAAUUUCCAGUGUAGCGGUAAUAUGCGCAGAUAUUGGAAAGAACACCAGUGGCGAAGGCGGCUUCCUGGUCUGUAACCGACGCUAAGAUGCGAAAGCUAGGGGAGCGAACGGGAUUAGAUACCCUGGU